rnacentral:rRNA from 1 species
UGGGGAAUCUUGGACAAUGGGCGCAAGCCUGAUCCAGCCAUGCCGCGUGGAUGAUGAAGGCCUUAGGGUUGUAAAAUCCUUUCGCCGAGGACGAUAAUGACGGUACUCGGAGAAGAAGCUCCGGCUAACUUCGUGCCAGCAGCCGCGGUAAUACGAAGGGGGCUAGCGUUGUUCGGAUUUACUGGGCGUAAAGCGCGUGUAGGCGGGUUGGAAAGUUGGGGGUGAAAUCCCGAGGCUCAACCUCGGAACUGCCUCCAAAACUUCCAGCCUGGACUCAAGUAGAGGCAAGUGGAAUUGCGAGUGUAGAGGUGAAAUUCGUAGAUAUUCGCGGGAACACCAGUGGCGAAGGCGACUUGCUGGACUUGUAGUGACGCUGAGACGCGAAAGCGUGGGGAGCAAACAGGAUUAGAUACCCUGGUAGUCCCUGAGCGGGCUGGCAAGGCGCAU